rnacentral:lncRNA from 1 species
AUAAUAUGAAAUACAUUAACAUGCAGCCAAUGGCGGUUCUACACGGGGGCCCGUGCCCCUGUGGACAUGUCCCUGGCCCCCCCUGUGGCCCCACCGUGCUGACCAAAUAAAACAAUUAUGAAUUGAUUAUGAUUUUACACGCGAGUGCCAAAAGCGGAACUAAUGCGACGCAACGUUCUACACGGGUAAAUUAGAGCGGCGCACCCAAACGGCGCACCCAAACAUUGUUGCUGCACGUUCUACACGGGUAAAUUAGAGCGGCGCACCCAAACGGCGCACCCAAACACUGUGUUGCUGCUGCUCGGUGAAUGCGAGCUCAGCAAAUACUCCUGGAGAAAGGAGCUACGAUUUCUCCUGUUGCGAAAGUCGAAGGUAAGCAAAACGAUUUAAUCUUUUAUGUGACUUGUUGUUCUUGAUCUUCCCGUGUUAAGUAGGGAGAAAUGGUUAUGCAACGAAGUGUAAUGCAUGCCCCUACGAUUUUUUUCUUCUAAUAGCAGCUAUCAUGAAACGAGGAAAGAAUAUAGCAUCCUUUUUUGCCCCAGUAAACAAAAAAGUGAAAGAAACAGCAGUGAGAGAAACAAGUCAAGGUAUUGAGAGAGCUGAGGAGCAGGAAGAGGGAGAGUCAGAGGAGGUUGGAGAGAGGGCAUGUGAUGAACGUGAGGGCUCUGACACAGAGAGGGAAAUUUCAGAGAGUGAGAAGGAUGAAGAAGAGGGUGAGGAGGAAGAAAACAUACAGAGACAGAGAGAGAAACAGCCAGAGGUACAGCAAGUAAAUCCAUGUGGAUCAAGUACUGCAGAUAUCAGCAAGUCCAAGAAUGAUGCACCAGUACAGCCGAACUUGAAUAUAUUCCCAACCACUUUGAUGGGGGACAGAAGACGGUGCUUCAGGCAAAACUGGUAUACUCUUCAUCCAUGGCUUGAGUAUUCUGUCAUAAUGGACUCUACAUAUUGCUAUGCAUGUAGACAUUUUAGCACACCAAAGGCCCCUGACACUGUUUUUGUUUCAACCCCUGGGUUUAGAAACUGGAAAAAUGCAACUAUGAGAAAGGCAGGGUUUUCAGUUCAUGCAAAGUCUGAGCGACACAAGUGUGCGAUGAUAGCAUGGCGGGAUUAUCAAAGUGCUGUUAAAAAUGAUGCAACACUAGCAGAUAUCCUUAACAAAGAACACACUAAACAAGUACAAGAAAAUCGGGCAUACAUUAAAACAAUUGGGGAAGUGCUGUUACUUACAGCUACACAAAACAUAGCACAAAGAGGGCAUGAUGAAUCUGAAGAGUCCAAUAACAAAGGAACCCAGUCAACAUUUCCACAUGGGCCCCAUAUGGGUAUUGACAUGGGCAUGUGGGCAUGGGUUCCAUCUGGUUUUGCUCCUGGGUUCCAACCGGGGCCCACCCGUGUUAGCCCAUAUGGGCUUAUAGGGGUUCUGACUGGGUCUUAGGUGGGUUCCAAAUGGGCAAUUCUUAUAUCUGAACCACCUUUGCGCCACCUGUUUGCGCCUAUAUGGGCUUGAGCUGGGAUCUAAAGGGGCCUUAAGUGGGUUCAAGCUGGGCAACCUAUAUGCAACCCAUGUAGGCUACACCUGUGUCCGCCCAUUUAGGGUUCCAUCUGGUUUUGCUCCUAGGUUCCAACAGGGGCCCACCUGAGUUAGCCCAUAUGGGCUUUUGUGGGUUUCUGACUGGGUCUUAAGUGGGUUCCAAAUGGGCAAUUUUAUAUCUGAACCACCUUUGCGCCACCUGUGGUUGUCUGUAUGGGUUUGAACUGAGAUCUGUAUGGUCCAUGUGUGUGUUUCAGCUGGGCAAUUUAUAUGCGAUCCAUGUAGGCCACACUUGUGUUAGCAUAGAGUUUGCCCAGCUUUAACCCACUUAAGGCCCAUGCAGAUCCCAGUUCAAGCCCAUAUAGGCAAACACAGGUGGCAAAGGUGGUUCAGAUUAAAAAUUUCCCAUGUGGACCCCAUUUAAGACCCAGUCAGAAACCCCAAGAUGUAAAAAGUGCCUAAAAUUUAGCAAAUUUAAAUUUAACCAGGGUGAAAGAACAAAACAAAAAACAAUACACUGUUUAUUUUUUUAACAAAGUGCACAUCAGAACAAAAAAUAAACAAGAAAUAUAUGUACACUAUUGCUGUCAAUCUCAUAAAAAAAAAAACUAUAUAAACUCACAACACAAAAGAACCAACUUAACUGUCCUUACCAUCCCUAUAACAAAAUCAAUUCAACCUUAACGCUGAUGAAGAAAAAAUAACAGCGUCACAUAAAACAGGAUUUCCGGAUUUGCACAUGGACAGCUAAAGUGUGUGUGUGUGUGUGUGUGUGUGUGUGUGUGUGUGUGUGUGUGUGCGUGUGUGCGUGCGCGCGCGCGCGCGUGCGAGCGAGCGAGAGAUCCAAAGAUGUUGGCAGAUGACAUUCUGCCUAUUGGGGCUGUGCCCCAUUGUCCUGUAAGUUGCCAGGUGUGUUGCCAAGUGCUUUCUGAGCUCUAGCAGCCCUAUUCCCACCUCGAUCCCGGGCUCCCGUAAACCACUUGGACAGAGCCGCCUCUGCUUCUUUCUGGUUAAUGUCCUUAGUGGAUGUUUUCCUUUUGAGUGCCCCUAAAAACAAAUGACAAGAAGCCAACUUAGUAAAGCUAACUUAACUCUUUGAUCAUGAAACCUUAUGAGA